AACAAUCUCUGUUGCAACAUAAUACUUUUUUUCUGAACAGUUAACCUUGCACAUGAUAUUUUAAUAGUAAUGUUUAAUUUUUCUUUCUUUUGCUCUUUUGAAAACAUUUAACUGCUUUAGCUAAACCUCAGCCAAAUUCCUGGUUUUGCUGGGCAACAGCACCCAUUUCAUACAAUUUAUUAUAGCGAACCCAAAGGCUCUUUUCAGAGCCAUCCACAUUGCGUCACUGAUUGGACAUCUAAUUCAUCUUUAUUGGACAUCUAAUUCAUCUUUCAGCUUGCCUCUUAAAAACUGCCAGGAAACCCAAAAAAAAACCACAGAUUCAACUAAAAAAAAAAAGCCUAUAAUUUCUACCCAAAAAAAACGACCCAUUUUUUUACCCCACCCAGCCAAUCUGUUGCCCUAACCCCAAAACACCGACUUUCCCCAAAACAGAACGUCCCUUUAACUUUUUGCUUUGACAGAAAGAGUGAGAGCAGAACUACCUACAGCUCCAGUGUGCCCUGCUGCCUUGAGUGUCUUCACAAAGCAACGUUGAUUAGAGGACUGCGUUGGGAAAUCAACACCAUCAACACACACAAUAAUUUACUAUAGUUUUAAAAUUACAUAAUUUCCUAUAGUCUUUUAGACUGCUUAUAACAGAUAAUACACAUUACAGUACUUUUAAAAGUCAUUAAUAUAUCAGUAAAAAAAAAUUGUUUUAGCAAGUUCAUCUUUGAAACGUAUUACAUUUAUAUCUGAGUCUUUUCACAUUUGCCUAUACUCUACUAAUUAAUUGCAUUAGUAAUAUUGCCUUUGGUUAUCAUUUCUGUAAAAUAUUGAGGUUAACAGUUCAACAGUUCCAUUGCUAUAGUCUUGUGUGUUUGUAUAUCUAAUUUCUUGACUGUUUUAACGGUGAAAUUUUAGUACAGUACUUAAAUAUAUCAGUAAAAUAUUCUAAGUUUGACUGUUGUUGUAACUGCUAUUUGAAUAGACUACAUUUAAAGGUCAUUAAAAUAUUUUGGUUUGCCAAGUUCCUCUUUGAAUCUUACCACAUUGUAACAUUUACCUUUAUUAAUUGAUUGCAUUACUGAUAUUGCUUUUGGUUAACAUUUUUGUACAAUAUUGGGGUUGACAGUGUUUGACAGUAUAACAGUUCAAUUGCUAUAGUUUAGUGUGUUUGUAUAUUUAAUUUGUUGACUUGUUACUGAAAUUUCAGUCCUGUACUUAAAAAGCUAAUUAAUAUAUCAGUAAUAUAUUUACAGUUUGACUCUUGUUGUAAUUGAUAUUUGAGUGCAGUACAUUUAAAGGUAAUUAAAAUAUCAGUAAAGUA